rnacentral:rRNA from 1 species
UACGUAGGUGGCAAGCGUUAUCCGGAAUUAUUGGGCGUAAAGCGCGCGCGGGCGGUUUCUUAAGUCUGAUGUGAAAGCCCACGGCUCAACCGUGGAGGGUCAUUGGAAACUGGGGAACUUGAGUGCAGAAGAGAAAAGCGGAAUUCCACGUGUAGCGGUGAAAUGCGUAGAGAUGUGGAGGAACACCAGUGGCGAAGGCGGCUUUUUGGUCUGUAACUGACGCUGAGGCGCGAAAGCGUGGGGAGCAAACAGG